rfam:Schistosoma curassoni strain Dakar, Senegal genome assembly, scaffold: SCTD_scaffold0002732
AUCCAGCUGUCAAGUCCCAUAUAGGACGAAACGCGUGUCCUGGAU